rnacentral:rRNA from 1 species
GGCGAUCAGAUACCGCCCUAGUUCUGACCGUAAACGAUGCCAACUCGCGAUCCGCCGGCGGAGCAUUUCGCCCUGGUGGGGAGCGUCCCGGAAACGAAAGUCUUCCGGUUCCGGGGGAAGUAUGGUUGCAAAGCUGAAACUUAAAGGAAUUGACGGAAGGGCACCACCAGGAGUGGAGCCUGCGGCUUAAUUUGACUCAACGCGAGGAACCUCACCCGGCCCGGACACCGUAAGGAUUGACCGAUCGACAGCUCAUUCAUGAUUCGGUGGUUGGUGGUGCAUGGCCGUUCUUAGUUCGUGGAUUUGAUCUGUCUGCUUUAUUGCGAUAACCGAGCGAGACCCACGCCUGCUAACUAGUCCGUGCAUUGCCAUUGUGCACGCCGACUUCUUAGAGGGAUUCGCGGUGUUCAGCCGUUUGAAAGUGGGCAAUAACAGGUCUGUGAUGCCCUUAGAUGUCCGGGGCUGCACGCGGGCUACACUGGCAAAACCAGCGUGCUUGUCCUGCCUCGAAGGAGGUGGGUAAACCCGGCAAAAUUUGCCGUGAUUGGGAUCGGAGAUUGCAAUUAUUUUCCGUGAACGAGGAAUUCCAAGUAAGUGCGAGUCAUCAGCUCGCGUUGAUUACGUCCCUGCCCUUUGUA